rnacentral:rRNA from 1 species
UUUUUAUAAUUUUUUUUCCUCGCUCAGGACGAACGCUGGCGGCGUGCCUAAUACAUGCAAGUCGAGCGGACAGAAGGGAGCUUGCUCCCGGAUGUUAGCGGCGGACGGGUGAGUAACACGUGGGUAACCUGCCUGUAAGACUGGGAUAACUCCGGGAAACCGGAGCUAAUACCGGAUAGUUCCUUGAACCGCAUGGUUCAAGGAUGAAAGACGGUUUCGGCUGUCACUUACAGAUGGACCCGCGGCGCAUUAGCUAGUUGGUGAGGUAACGGCUCACCAAGGCGACGAUGCGUAGCCGACCUGAGAGGGUGAUCGGCCACACUGGGACUGAGACACGGCCCAGACUCCUACGGGAGGCAGCAGUAGGGAAUCUUCCGCAAUGGACGAAAGUCGACGGAGCAACGCCGCGUGAGUGAUGAAGGUUUUCGGAUCGUAAAGCUCUGUUGUUAGGGAAGAACAAGUGCAAGAGUAACUGCUUGCACCUUGACGGUACCUAACCAGAAAGCCACGGCUAACUACGUGCCAGCAGCCGCGGUAAUACGUAGGUGGCAAGCGUUGUCCGGAAUUAUUGGGCGUAAAGGGCUCGCAGGCGGUUUCUUAAGUCUGAUGUGAAAGCCCCCGGCUCAACCGGGGAGGGUCAUUGGAAACUGGGAAACUUGAGUGCAGAAGAGGAGAGUGGAAUUCCACGUGUAGCGGUGAAAUGCGUAGAGAUGUGGAGGAACACCAGUGGCGAAGGCGACUCUCUGGUCUGUAACUGACGCUGAGGAGCGAAAGCGUGGGGAGCGAACAGGAUUAGAUACCCUGGUAGUCCACGCCGUAAACGAUGAGUGCUAAGUGUUAGGGGGUUUCCGCCCCUUAGUGCUGCAGCUAACGCAUUAAGCACUCCGCCUGGGGAGUACGGUCGCAAGACUGAAACUCAAAGGAAUUGACGGGGGCCCGCACAAGCGGUGGAGCAUGUGGUUUAAUUCGAAGCAACGCGAAGAACCUUACCAGGUCUUGACAUCCUCUGACAACCCUAGAGAUAGGGCUUUCCCUUCGGGGACAGAGUGACAGGUGGUGCAUGGUUGUCGUCAGCUCGUGUCGUGAGAUGUUGGGUUAAGUCCCGCAACGAGCGCAACCCUUGAUCUUAGUUGCCAGCAUUCAGUUGGGCACUCUAAGGUGACUGCCGGUGACAAACCGGAGGAAGGUGGGGAUGACGUCAAAUCAUCAUGCCCCUUAUGACCUGGGCUACACACGUGCUACAAUGGACAGAACAAAGGGCUGCGAGACCGCAAGGUUUAGCCAAUCCCACAAAUCUGUUCUCAGUUCGGAUCGCAGUCUGCAACUCGACUGCGUGAAGCUGGAAUCGCUAGUAAUCGCGGAUCAGCAUGCCGCGGUGAAUACGUUCCCGGGCCUUGUACACACCGCCCGUCACACCACGAGAGUUUGCAACACCCGAAGUCGGUGAGGUAACCUUUAUGGAGCCAGCCGCCGAAGGUGGGGCAGAUGAUUGGGGUGAAGUCGUAAGGGGAGAACCCGAAAAAAAAAAUCAAAGGGCGAGGAUUGUCGGUUCGAAGCGAGGAGGGGGAGGGGGGUAGGAGGGGGGUUGAGGCCCGGGGGG